rnacentral:rRNA from 1 species
UCGGGAAUUUUGGGCAAUGGGCGAAAGCCUGACCCAGCAACGCCGCGUGAAGGGUGAAGUAUUUCGGUAUGUAAACUUCGAAAGAAUAGGAAGAAUAAAUGACGGUACUAUUUAUAAGGUCCGGCUAACUACGUGCCAGCAGCCGCGGUAAUACGUAGGGACCAAGCGUUGUUCGGAUUUACUGGGCGUAAAGGGCGCGUAGGCGGCAAUUCAAGUCAUCUGUGAAAUCUCCGGGCUUAACUCGGAACGGUCAGAUGAUACUGCUUUGCUAGAGUGCAGAAGGGGCAAUCGGAAUUCUUGGUGUAGCGGUGAAAUGCGUAGAUAUCAAGAGGAACACCUGAGGUGAAGACGGGUUGCUGGGCUGACACUGACGCUGAGGCGCGAAAGCCAGGGGAGCAAACGGGAUUAGAUACCCCCGUAGUCCCUGAGCGGGCUGGCAAGGCGCAU